UUAGGAAAAAUAAUUGUAUAUAGAAUUUAGAAUCUGCUUUAUGGAAAUCGGUGUAAUUCCGAUGCGGUGCCGCCACUGUGAUGAGGAGCUUGCAGCAGAGAUUGUUUUUUAACAAUUGUGACACUGGAUUACGAUCCGGGAAGUCGUCUGCAAGGCUAUGAAUCUAAGCCAGGAUACUUAAACAGGUUUUGAUUUAU
rnacentral:ncRNA from 1 species